rnacentral:rRNA from 1 species
GCCUACGGGAGGCAGCAGUAGGGAAUCUUCCACAAUGGGCGAAAGCCUGAUGGAGCAACGCCGCGUGGGUGAAGAAGGUCUUCGGAUCGUAAAACCCUGCUGUUAGAGAAGAAAGUGCGUGAGAGUAACUGUUCACAUUUCGACGGUAUCUAACCAGAAAGCCACGGCUAACUACGUGCCAGCAGCCGCGGUAAUACGUAGGUGGCAAGCGUUAUCCGGAUUUAUUGGGCGUAAAGGGAACGCAGGCGGUCUUUUAAGUCUGAUGUGAAAGCACUCGGCUUAACCGGAGUAGUGCAUUGAAAACU